GCCGGUGAAAUAUCCUUCUAAACCUCAUCCUUGAACAAGCAGACGAGUGCUCCUUUCCCAUUGCAGAUAUGUUGCUGGUCCGUCAAAGUUUAUAGCCAUUUGAAGAGCAUUCAGGGAUCCACUAUCUCUUAACGAGCCCUCAGAUUGAGUGGUAGCUGUAACAAGUCGAUCCAGUAAACUUUCGAGAUCUCGCAUAGUAAUUGCAUUGGCUAUCUC
rnacentral:lncRNA from 1 species